GACGAACGCUGGCGGCGUGCCUAAUACAUGCGAGUCGAGCGAAGUUUUUCUGGUGCUUGCACCGGAAAAACUUAGCGGCGAACGGGUGAGUAACACGUAAAGAACCUGCCUCAUAGACUGGGACAACUAUUGGAAACGAUAGCUAAUACCGGAUAACAGCAUUAACUGCAUGGUUGAUGUUUAAAAGUUGGUUUUGCUAACACUAUGAGAUGGCUUUGCGGUGCAUUAGCUAGUUGGUGGGGUAAAGGCCUACCAAGGCGACGAUGCAUAGCCGACCUGAGGGGGUGAUCGGCCACACUGGGACUGAGACACGGCCCAGACUCCUACGGGAGGCAGCAGUAGGGAAUCUUCCGCAAUGGGCGAAAGCCUGACGGAGCAACGCCGCGUGAGUGAAGAAGGAUUUCGGUUCGUAAAGCUCUGUUGUUAGGGAAGAAUGAUUGUGUAGUAACUAUACACAGUAGAGACGGUACCUAACCAGAAAGCCACGGCUAACUACGUG
rnacentral:rRNA from 1 species